rnacentral:rRNA from 1 species
GACGAACGCUGGCGGCGUGCUUAACACAUGCAAGUCGAACGGAAAGGCCUCUUUCGGGGGCUACUCGCGUGGCGAACGGGCGGGUAACACGCGAGUAACCUGCCCAUGACUUUGGGUUAACUACAGGAAACUGGCGCUAACUACGGAUAGGUGCUCCUUUUGCACGGUUGGGGCUGGAAAGUAACGGCGGUUGGGGAUGGACUCGCGGGGUAUCAGCUUGUUGGUGGAGAAAUGGUUUGCCAAGGCUUUGGCGGGUAGCCGGCCUGAGACGGUGACCGACCACAUUGAGACUUAGAUGCGGCCCAGGCACCGACGGGAGGCAGCAGUGGGGAAUAUUGAACGAGGAGUGGAGGCCGAAUGCAGCAACGCCGUGGACGGUAUGACGGCCUUAGGGUUGUAGACCGCAUGCGCACAUAACGAAGCUUGGUUUGACGGUAGUGGGUAAGAAAGCACCGGCUAACUACGUG